UCAUGGCAUAACUCUUAACUUCUCUCUAGAAUUGAUUCAGUAAGUUCUACAGAUGAUGUUGAAGAAUCCCAGUGUGCAAUGGAGGCUGAGACGUGUACAGAAAGCCUUAGACCAGGAACAGUGAAGACACUGUGUCUCUUGAGAACACAUCAUAGUAGCCCUAGGAAUGUAAAUGAGGCUUUGAGUGGCCUAUGGAUCAUGGUUUGAGCACACCCAUGCCUGGCUAUCCAUGAGAGAAAGGGAAAACUACCUGCUACUGAGUUAUGAGAUAUGAAAAAGUUGCAUAUGGAUCAUGGUUUGAGCACACCCGUGCCUGGGUUUCCAUGAGAGAAAGAGACAACUUCCUGCUACUGAAGACAUAAAAAAGGACACAAAGAGCACCAUAAAGAAUAUGUGUGACUUCCUAGGAAAAACAAUAUAGCCAGAUGAGCUGGAUAUGGUCCUCACAUACAGGUCCUUCCAAGCCAUGAAAGAAAAUAAUAUGUCCAAUUUUAGUCUCAUCCCUGAAGAUAUGAUUACUAUUGGUUUGAUUCUCUUG